GUGGUGACCUGGGAAUCAAUGUGUGAGGUGGUGCUAUGUAGCAGGAACCCCUCUUGCUUUGCAAAUAGUUUUUUGUUUGUUUUCCUUUUUGCCCAAUAGAGCCCUGCUCUACUGACCCUUCAAUGUGCCCGUGUGCCUAAAUAUUCCUGGUCGUGUGAAAAGAACCCAGGUAUUAGCUGAACUAAGGAGCACAAUUCUGCAACAUUUUGGCACCCAAACACGGGGCUUGAGAAAUGAAUGCAAUUGGAGAAACUGGUUGUUUUACCAGGCGUUGAUUGGAAAUGUGUGCUUCCCUUUAAGCAGUCAAGCUCAACUUGCAGAACUGAUGGGAACCCCUUGGGAAAACUGGCCUCAAAUGUUUGUCUACACAGUCCACAUACAGGGUUCUUAACCUGCGAUGCUUUUGUGUAGAUGAGGGAAACUUCCCAGGGCUUGUCUGGGUAUGCCCACAGUGGACUGGAGCCCAAAAUGCACACUGGAGGAAGUGGAUGGAGCCACGUGGAUGUCAUGCCUUAUGCAGGGGAGGAGCCUGCUCUCUUCAGCUCCUGUGGUAAUGUGGGAAUCGAUCUGUGAGGAAACACUUUCUGAAAAUGUCAGAACUCUUGAAAACAUGGAUGAGGAAAAGCAUAAGUACUGCUUUAUGCUUUUCUUAUGAAUUUUAAAAGAUGUAAUUUAAAGGUACUUUAAAGUGAUAUUUGUGCCCUUGUAACUGAUUCAAAGUAGACUGCUAAGGACAAUAAGUAAUAAGAGUCUACAAAUAUCAGUAAAUUAUGAGAAAAAACGGUCUAAUGGUACUUAAAAUUGCAUUGUGAUUUAUUAAAUAACAUUGAACAGCU
rnacentral:lncRNA from 1 species